rnacentral:rRNA from 1 species
CCGCGUGCAGGAUGGAGGCCUUCGGGUUGUAAACUGCUUUUAUAAGUGAAGAAUAUGACGGUAACUUAUGAAUAAGCACCGGCUAACUACGUGC